rnacentral:pre_miRNA from 1 species
UGAACAGAUUAUUGUAUUCGACUGUAUUCACGGCGUGAAACAUGUGAUUGCAUUGUUUUUAAACGAAAAGUGAAUCAAUUAACAUAAUAGACUGCU